UAGUAGGCAGCCUGGAGAUCUGAGG
rnacentral:piRNA from 1 species